GCGGCGUUAGCUCAGCUGGAUAGAGCAGCGGCCUUCUAAGCCGCAGGUCAGAGGUUCGAGCCCUCUACGCCGCGCCA
rnacentral:tRNA from 1 species